CAGUUUGGCUGCUGGAGGCCAGGCAGCAACAUCACCUGGCCGGAGGGCUGCUGAGAACAAUCUGGAGGGGAGGAGCACUGCAGCAACCAGCCCUGUGACCUGGAUUAAGUCCCCAGAGACAUGGCUCUCCACCAGGCCUGCAAUAGAACUACCAUCCAACCGUGGCAGGAGUGACAGCGAGGAGGGACUCAUGCCACAGCCAGGACCUGCAUCCACAGCCAGACCCAAGACAGCCUAGCUGCCAUGGAAGAAGCCAACAUCCAGUGCCUGGGAGCUGCCUGCCCACUCUCAGGUACUCCAGGGGCCAUCUGGAUGCACCAGCUAUGAUGGGAGCAACACUCAUGGUGGGACUGUGUCCAGGAGCUACUUCAGAAAGAGUGGGCAUGCCUCCAGGAGACCCAGGAACACUGCCAGCAGGUCUUGGCCAAGUUCUGCCAGUCCUGCUGUGACCAUGCCCCUGUCUCAGAGGAGCUCCUGGCUGGGAGAGUAACACUGCAGUAGCUGGUGGUGGGAAAAAAGGGAGGAGCUACAGCUGGCCUGGGACAGCUAUGAGGAGCUGAGGCAACUGCAGGGCUCCAGUGACAUAGCCAUCCAGGAGGAGGACAGUGUAUCGCAUCAGCUCUUGGCCACUAUCCCCACAUCAGCUGCUCCUGCUACUGUGCUCCAGCACAUGCCAGUCCCAGUGCAGGAACCUGGCCCUGCUGGCCAGCCUGCCUUGCCAACACCAGGGGCAGGGCCUGGCUAGGAGCAUUUUGCUAGGCUGGUGGCUCAGAGGGCACCCCAGUAGGCCCCAUAGGCCUGCCAUGGUCAUCAAGGGGUGCUGCUUCUGCCUCCCACCUUCCCAGUCCUUCUCUGAGGAGGAGCUCCCACUCUCCUCCCCAGAUCAGCCAGGGCCUUGGCCACCACAACAUUGCUCCUACACACAGGGUGGUGGCACAGAAGGCUGAGGCCAGACUCUGGGCUGAGGGGCUGCUGAUCCCUGAUUACCUCCUCCCUGUGUCUCCUCCCCAGGAUUUCCCCUGCCCCUAAGAACUCUCUCUCUCCCCAAUUCUUGCAUAAAUAGUUGCAGUGUAUUUCUGGCUCUGAAAGGUUUGGUAUAUGGCUCUAUCCUCCCCAGCAGGGGUAGCUUGUACUCUCAGGCUUGAGGCAGUUGGCUGCCUGUGGCCCUAGACUGGGCUCCCUGGAUGCAGUGGUGUUGCUCCAAUGGUGCAGCAAUGGACCACUGGCAGCUGGCCCAGAUCAUCAGGUAGGUCUGCUGGAGUAUCCAUACCACAGCCCAGGUGGCCAUGUGGUCUCCGUCUAUGUCCGGCAGGCAUGCAGCCAUGGGGCCACAGGUCUGAGGGCAUGGAUGCUGUAGCAGGUGGCAUCAGGUCUCUACAAGGUGGCAGUCCCUUCUGCCAGACUUCUGCAGCAGGCACAGGGUGCAAGAGCCAUUCUAGGUCUGGGCUGCUGUGGCAGUCCAGCUAGCAUAGGGGGCUUGUGUCCCAUAUCAACUGGCUAGACCUGAGAAGCUCCUGAGAGCAAGUAGCCCUGAACUGCUCACCAGGCCACCAGUUUAUUCUGCUGCAGUCAGCACAGGUGCUGGCCCCAGCCUCCAGCUCUCCAUGGCUGAAUAGGUAGGAGGAGCUGGGAAAGGGCAGUUUGCAAAAAGCAGCACAAUUUGCUGUAUGACAAAGUGCAUGUUCAAGCACAUGCGCUGAGGCACAAAUAUGUGGUGCUACUAUUUGUCACUACAAGUGCACACCCCCUGCAUGUGUGGAUGUGGCCUUAGAGUGUACAUACCCAUUCAGUGGGAAGCUGAUUUUUCCUUAUAACUAACUUUUCAAGAAACAAUUACCUUUUAACUUAUUUUAUGAUACUUGAUUCAACAUGUGAAAUAAAGCAGCAAUUGAUGUAAAAUGACAAAAUUCUGUUUUAGGAUUAUGAAGUGUCUGUCCCAUUGAGCUUUUCCAGCCUAUUAAGAACCUCUUACAGAAAUUUUUUCCAAGCUUACUAUUUCUAGACUAGCCCUUUAAAUUUGGCAGAGUCAAGCCAUUUUACACCUAAAGAAGUCAUUUUGACAUUAGAUGCUGCUUGCUAUAUCUUCUCUUCUUUCACCUGGUAAGUGUUUUUAAGUCUUUUCAUACUUCUUCCUAAUAUCACUCUCCUUGCUUUUGAAGAGAUGAUGUGUUUUCACUGCUUGCUGCAGUUAGUUUGAUUGGCUUUGUAAUUAGUAAAAUAAGAAAGAGUUAAGGUUGGUAUUGGUUUCCUUUAGGUAUGAUGAAAAUAAAGCUUGACCUUGGUAUACCUACCCUGAGACAGAAGAGGUAUAAAGUUCUAUUGACUGGGCAUACUGAAUAAUAACUAAAAUAUAUUGAAUGAAAUCAUAUGUCUGGUUUAAAAGAAGUUGCCCUGCCUGGUAGAAUGGUAUCUCCUACAAUGAUUGGAUACAUUUUAUUGUUACUUUUCCUUUCAGAGGUGUAUUAAAAGGGAAAGUUCAAAAGGCCACAGCUGACGCACACGUUCUCUCCUAUGAAUGAUUUAUCCAAACCUUAAUGAUGUUCAGAAAACUAGUUCAUUGAAAAGUAGAAAAUAUUUCAUUUGCUUUCUGAAAAUAAUGUUAAUUAUUUGCAAGAUUCAACCUACCAUUUCAAUUGCUCUAAAAUCUAAGCACUUUAACCAUGCAGCAAUUUACACACAAAGGCAAACCCAUUCUUGAUUAAAUGUCUUGCUUAAAAACAUUUUAAAUAUACCAGAAAAGAAUAAGGACUAUGCAAAAUAGAAGCCUGAAGUCUAACAAAAAUAGGAUCAUUAAAAAGAUGGUCCACAAUUAUAAAUACUAUUUCAAGAAAAAAAAUUAGUUUAUUGGUAAACAGACUUCCCUUUACCCUCUUUCUAAUAUACCUAUACUCUGCUACAUGGACAAAAAAAAAACACAAUAAAAAGCCACUCACUGGUAGCCUAAAAAUAAGAGACCUGCUGGGUCAUAUUUUGAUAGCAACUUCUCAGCCUUCAAGUACAAUUACAUCUUAUCAUGGGUAAAAUAUCAUAAUGUAAUUUGUCAUGUUGGAAAGAAAAAAGAAGGAUGUUAUCUUCAUCCUAUAGAUUUCAAAACCCUUGCUAUGUGCUAUAGAGAUGACAAAUGAGUCAGAUUCCAAUACUACUGUUUGGAAUGGUGGAAUGUAAUUAGCAGAUACCCAUAAAACACUUUAAUGAAAACCCCCUUCUGUACUCUUACACCUGUUGGACACUAUUACAGUGAAGCUCAUCUGCCACCAGAGUGCUGAUCAAAUAUACCACAGGGGCUUGGCAAAUGUGUUUCAGUUAUAUUCAUAUAAGCAGUGAAACCAUACAAAUGGGAACAAGGCGUCUGUGAAAUAUUCAGCAUCUGCCGCCUUCCAGAACAACAACUGGUUGUUCUAAAUUUUUCAUAGACUUACUUUGUGGCUCACUUCACAAUGUCACAUGAGAGAUUAAUCAUAAGUAAAAAAUAUUUACAAGAACAAUUUGUAAUUCUGAAGAAAAAUUAAAAGACCUAUUUUAUAGGCAGUAAUUCUUCAAAGAAAGCAAAUGUAAAUGGUAACUUCCAGAAGCUCUAACGUACUGUACAAUUUCAGUGUUCCUUCCUAAAAUAUGUUUCAUGGUGGCAAAAUAAGCAUAUUUGGCUAUAACCUACAUUUAUGCUGACUUCUGUGAAUAAAUUAUAUGGGUAAAGUGGUAAGAGCCCAACAUUCUUCAAAUGGGCUUUGGCCUGAGUAUGCACUUGUUCAGCACAUCUAGCUUCUCUGCAGCUUCUAGCUGUAUGCUUCCUUUGGAGACUCUAAUAAGAUUAAGUCUGCUUUCCCAGACAAAUUAUUCAGAAGGGUGGAAAUAGAAAGAAAACACCUGCUCCCCUCUGUGAUUAAAUCUCAACUGUACACAGUUCAGCCCCUUUAGUGCAGUUCAGAUCCUGAAUGCUGCUGUGCAUACAAGUUUAUUUCCCAUCUUCCUGUAUAUGUAUUCUAUUCAUGUUGUUCUAGCUCACUGAUGUCAGUGGCACUGAACUCCUUGCAAAGCCACAUUUAAGAGUAUAAUAAGAUGAGCAUCUGUUACAAAUGGGUCUAAUCCUUAAGGGAAAUACUGACUACCUUUAUAAAUAUUAUGUUUAACUUUAUGUAUACCAUUGUCUGUGUUUUUUUUUCAAUAACCAUCAGUUGUAUACCCAAUAAGCAUUCUCCUCUGUGGCUCAAGCAAGAACUAAGUGUGAAGUUAAGUGUUA